UUGGACGCUUGGCAAAGCCCUUCUGGGGGAGCCCUAGUGCCUGGCAUGAGCGGAGCGGGCUUCCAGGGAGGCAUUCACCCGGUCAGCGUCAGGAACCAUCCUAACUGAGGCCUCGUGUCUUUUACUCCGUGUUCCCAGGCUCCCUCUUUCCCUUCGGUCGACGUGGGUGUGCCGGACGCCUCUGGCAGGACUAACCCCGUGGCUUUUAUGUCCAACGUGCUGUGCUGCGUGUGCCUGCAGUAUCCUGUCCAAGACCAAGCUACCUUUCCUUGUGGGAAUGGACUGGCCGGGCUUUGGCAGUCUGGCCCCUCGAAAGACUAAAGUGACCUCUUCCAGCAGGGGAAGACUUUCUGGCAAGCGGUGCCAGAAAGAACUGGAGUUUCUGGAGAAUGAAAGCUGGAGGCGUGCCCCCGAUAAUCCUCGCCCC